rnacentral:rRNA from 1 species
UAGGGAAUAUUGGUAAUGGGCGAAAGCCUGAACCAGCAACGCCGCGUGUGCGAUGAAGGCCUUCGGGUCGUAAAGCACUUUUUGGAGGGAUGAGGAAGGACAGUACCUCCAGAAUAAGCCUCGGCUAACUACGUGCCAGCAGCCGCGGUAACACGUAGGAGGCAAGCGUUAUUCGGAUUUACUGGGCGUAAAGCGCGUGCAGGCGGUUCGGAAAGUUGGAUGUGAAAGCUCCUGGCUUAACUGGGAGAGGUCGUUCAAUACUUCCGGACUUGAGAGUGGGAGAGGGGGGUGGAAUUCCGGGUGUAGUGGUGAAAUGCGUAGAUAUCCGGAGGAACACCAGUGGCGAAAGCGGCCUCCUGGCCCAUUUCUGACGCUCAGACGCGAAAGCU